AGGACUCGUUUCACUAUAUAAACUGGGGGUCCAAGAAGACGACCAGCUGGGAAAAGGAAAGAAAGAAUAAGAAAAUACCUGGAAGAAGAACUAAUCACCUCCAAGACAUAGCUCAACAUCAGAGCUUCUAGAAUCCUAUGCACGACUGUGACAUGCAGCAACCAGAACCCAGAUGAGACUGACCUUGCCUGGCCAACAGGGAAAGACCGCCUCCGUGAUCAGGAUUGUGUGUGGGUGAAGAGUCUCAGUUAUGAGGAUAAUGACGGUCAAACUUUUCUUCAUGUCAUGUGUGUUACACAAAGUUACAUCAAUGCUGGACCUACCAGUCAUUGCUAGGACCACCCUUUCCCAAGGGACGACUGACAUUCACGCAAUGAGUUCAGUUCAUUAAAACUGAAAGGAAGAACCUAGUAAAUUACCAGGCCCAGAUGGUGGAAGACCUGAAGCCAAAAUUCUAUUUUCCUUUUUUGCCGGAUAGUUCAUUGAAGCCCAUCCAUU